rnacentral:rRNA from 1 species
GCUGGCGGCGUGCCUAAUACAUGCAAGUCGAGCGAACGGAUAAGGAGCUUGCUCCUUUGAAGUUAGCGGCGGACGGGUGAGUAACACGUGGGUAACCUACCUAUAAGACUGGGAUAACUUCGGGAAACCGGAGCUAAUACCGGAUAACAUUUAGAACCGCAUGGUUCUAAAGUGAAAGAUGGUUUUGCUAUCACUUAUAGAUGGACCCGCGCCGUAUUAGCUAGUUGGUAAGGUAACGGCUUACCAAGGCGACGAUACGUAGCCGACCUGAGAGGGUGAUCGGCCACACUGGAACUGAGACACGGUCCAGACUCCUACGGGAGGCAGCAGUAGGGAAUCUUCCGCAAUGGGCGAAAGCCUGACGGAGCAACGCCGCGUGAGUGAUGAAGGGUUUCGGCUCGUAAAACUCUGUUAUUAGGGAAGAACAAAUGUGUAAGUAACUGUGCACAUCUUGACGGUACCUAAUCAGAAAGCCACGGCUAACUACGUGCCAGCAGCCGCGGUAAUACGUAGGUGGCAAGCGUUAUCCGGAAUUAUUGGGCGUAAAGCGCGCGUAGGCGGUUUCUUAAGUCUGAUGUGAAAGCCCACGGCUCAACCGUGGAGGGUCAUUGG